AACAAUAAAAGGAAAAGUAUUUGCAUAAAGAAGAAAGCGAAGUGGAUUUCAAUCACAUGGGAAAAAAAUUUCAAUUUGGUACAAUCUAGCGGGACCUUAUCCAUUGUUCGUUCACCUUGCCAGUCGGCCCCAAUUCAGUAAAGCAGCGGGUUAGGGCUUGAAACUCUUCCAUCAUCGCAUUGAGAAUUCUUCAGAAAUGGCCGAUGAAGCGAACAGAACCGCAUUUAUGGAAAUUCAAGGACAGAUGGUUGAGAUUACUGGAAAGCUGAAGCAGGUACAAAAUCAGAUGCGAAACAAAGAAGGAGAAAGGAAGCGCGCAUUCUUAACCUUGGAGGAACUGCGACAGUUGCCUGAUGAUACAAACACAUACAAAUCUAUUGGGAGAACGUGAGUUCUGGCUAAAUAAUCUGUGCAUGCAAUUUAAUGAAUCAUAGUUUAUGAAGUGUGAGGAAUGUGUGCAUGUGCAUGUGUGCAUGAGUGUUACAUAAUCCGUUGAAAUUUCUUACAUCAAAGUUUCAAUUCUUUCCCUCAAACUGUUGGGCAGGUUUGUUUUAGAACCCAGGUCUGUGUUAAUGAAUGAACAGGAACAAAAGUUCAAGGACAGUGAGGCAGCCAUCACUGCAUUACAGACGUCCAAGGAGUACUUGGAGAAGCAGUUGGGAGAGGUGGAGAACAACCUGAGGGAGCUGCUACACCAAGAUCCAACUCUUGCUCGUCAGAUUAUGUCCAUGACAGAACUCUGACCACCAUCGCGCUACUUUGGACAUUAUGACGUGACACCAAACCCGAGGGGGUGAAGGCCGCCUGCCCAUUGACGCACCCUUGGUAGUUUACCGGUGCAAUGCUUCAAGGCAGAAUCGAACCGAUGACCUUCGGGUCACCAAAGUCACAAGUCGCCCUUACUACUUGAGUUGACCGACUGUACCCUUUUAUGUUGUUGAUUUAUUAUAAUUGCCCCUUUGUCAUUCAAAAAAGGAAAAAAACCAGUUAAUUAUAAAAAUGAACUAGAAUCCCUCCAAGGAGAGAAUUCAAGAGUUGGUCCAUUGAGCUACUUAAUUAUGUAUUAGCGCAUAAAAUUUACAUAAAAAUUUGGAAAAUAUCUUUUAUUAUUUUCCUGGAUUUCUAAUCCUUACUUUGUGCAAGGAAGCAUGAAGUUUGGAUCUUAAACAUUAAUUUGUGUGGAUUAAGCUUAAUAAGUGUUUAUAUUGUGAUAUGUGGCUCA